UACGGAGGGGGUUAGCGUUGUUCGGAAUGACUGGGCGUAAAGCGCGCGUAGGCGGAUCAGGAAGUUGGGGGUGAAAUCCCGGGGCUCAACCCCGGAAUGGCCUUCAAAACUCCUGGUCUUGAGUUCGAGAGAGGUGAGUGGAAUUCCGAGUGUAGAGGUGAAAUUCGUAGAUAUUCGGAGGAACACCAGUGGCGAAGGCGGCUCACUGGACCGGUACUGACGCUGAGGUGCGAAAGCGUGGGGAGCAAACAGG
rnacentral:rRNA from 1 species